AUUGAACGCUGGCGGCGUGCUUAACACAUGCAAGUCGAGCGGUAACAGGCGUAGCAAUACGUGCUGACGAGCGGCGAACGGGUGCGUAAUACAUGGGAAUCUGCCUAGUAGUGGGGAAUAACCCGGCGAAAGCCGGGCUAAUGCCGCAUACGAUCCACGGAUGAAAGCGGGGGACCUUCGGCCUCGCGCUAUUGGAUGAGCCCACUGUCGGAUUAGCUAGUUGGNGAGGUAACGGCUCACCAAGGCGACGAUCCGUAGCUGGUCUGAGAGGACGGCCAGCCACACUGGGACUGAGACACGGCCCAGACUCCUACGGGAGGCAGCAGUGGGGGAAUAUUGGACAAUGGGGGCGAACCCUGAUCCAGCGACGCCGCGUGUGUGAAG
rnacentral:rRNA from 1 species